UGCAUCUGCAGCUUUCCUGUAUCCUUGGCCUUCAUAAGGGACCAUGGCUCCUGAGUGACAGAACUUCUGAACUCCUCCAGGAUGGAGGAACAGAGAAGCAAACCAUAAGCCAGAAAGUUGGCUCAGUCUGUGAGGCUGCUAUGCAGUUGGAGGAUCCAGUCAGAGGAACAGGAACUGGGUCUCUGAGUAGGUCAAAUGUGAUCCCAUUUCAAGCCGUUGUACAUCUCUGAUGGGAGCAGCCUUCCCCCUUACACCUCGUGUCCUGCUGUGUGGUUUGGAUAUGAGGUAUUCCACAUCCAUGACAGCUUGUGUGUUGAAGCUCUAGUCCCCAGCUGGUACCACUCUUCUGGAAGGUUCUAGAAAUGUUCAGAAGCAGGGCCUAGUUGGAAGAAGCAGAUCCCUCAAGAUGGAUCCUCGGGAGCAUCUUGGCUCUGGCCUCCUCCUGUUUGUUCCAGUCAGCUUCCCAUCUGCUACCAGGUGGACAGCUCUCCUCCACUGCACGCUGCUACCACCAGGAGGCUUGCCUCAAGCACUGGGAGUAGUGACUAUGGACCCUCUAAAAGUAUGAGCCAAAAUAAAUAGUGUUCACAGCAAGAAAA